rfam:Alicyclobacillus macrosporangiidus strain DSM 17980 genome assembly, contig: Ga0104483_105
CUAGUAAAGGGCAAACCUAUCGAAAGAUAGGGACGCAAAGCCACGGGCCUAACGCGCUCAGGAAUGACCUGGGAUGCCAUGGUCGCCGGGCUGCCGGAA